AAUUAUUUCAAUGCUGGAAAAUUUGAGUUGUGCUAAUACAGAAAAAAAAAAAACCCAUUCUGCCUUUCCUGGAGUCUAAGCAAUUUCUUUAACUGGGUUAUAAAAGUUGCAUUCCAAGGGUGCUGGAAAGUUUUUCACUCACUUCUUUAUCAAAAUAGCAUCUUGAUAGAGAAAUGGAAUUAGUUUCAUGAAUUCAAACAUGAAAGAACACUAAAAACAUGGGCUUCUGAAUGUAAAUUUCAUUAUGUGUGGUUAGUUAUGGACAGUGGAUUUUCUUUCUACGUUUUGUUCUCUUUUUUUUUGGAAGUUUGCUGAGUGAAUCGUAAGUAUAAUGGAGAGAAAUAGCUUUCACAUGCCCUGGCAUGCACCAGGAAUGAUUAAAAGGACUCAAAUUUAACCCACAGAGUUUCUGUAUUUUGGAGAGCAAUUAUUUUAAUCAGUGAUUCUUGUUUGUUUGUUUCCUGAAUCUGGGUUUAUGGCUUAAUUCAGAGACUCUGCAACUAUUUAACAAUUUCCCACAUUUGUCUUGAAGUGAAAGAAAGAGAAGUCCUCUCUGUACAUUUCUUGCCCCCAGGCCCUGGUACAGCUCUUGGGAGAUCAUGUGUUCAUGACAGCAGCUUAAGCAAAUCAAGGAGAGGCCAUCUCUCUACGAGAUGCAGCAGAGUACACAGGCUGAGAAGAGGCAGCCAAAGCAGUUCAAGCCCCUGGACUUCAACAAGGCAUUUGACACUGUUUGCCACUGCCUACUCCUGCACAAAGUGGCAAGCUACUGACUGGAAAAAUGGUCAGUGGGAUGGAUUGGAAGUUGACUCACAGACUGAAAUCAGAGCAUGCUGAUUGAUGCUUUUACUCAGGCUGGCUCCCUGUCACACACAGGGUCCCACAGGGAUCAAAACUUGCCCCCACCCUGUCCAACAUCUUCAUAAAUCAUCUAGAUGAUAGGUUUGAAAGAACCCUCACUAAGUUAGCUGAUGACGCUUACAUGUGUAGAGUAAUUAUUACUCAAGGAAGUUCAAUUUCUCAUUGUAAGUGUUCUAUAGAGUACUUUUUAUGCUGUCUUUAUGUCCAGCUACUUCUUUAGAUACUAUUAGUCGAUCACUCCUGAGUAGUAAAGAGGCUACCCACAUCUAGUCUGCACUAAUUUUCCGAUUUUGAUGUUGCAUGAACUCUGCUCAGAGAAAGGGAGGAACAAAGAAAACAGUUGCGUUGGAUUUUUUCACAGUUAAGUGUCGGAUGGUUUUGUACUAGGGCUUAAUAUUUUAUCUGUAUCAGAAAUUAUGGAGCCAAAUUUCCUAUGUAAUUUUGUAUGAAAAUUAGAUUCUUUGGUGUCUGCUUAGAAGUGAAGUAGAGUUUGGAGAAACUUUCCACUGUGAAAGUUGUUUAUUUUCAGAAAAGUUCAAUUUCUAUGAACAUUACAGUUUUGAGGCUUCUGUUUCACUUUCAUAUUUGGUACUUAAAAAUGGAUUCAAAAGAAGAGAAUAUGCCUCUAAAAGAACUCACACAUUAAACAUGACUGUCUAGAACUUGAAAUCAGUAGAAGAAACAUAGAAAUACUUUUUUAUAAAUAUUAUUUUCAUUGUUAAAUAUAUAAUCUGUCUUAAAUCAGUUGCUUUUUAAAAAUGUAGUCUAUCCAUAAAUGUUGCCAGAUGUCAAACUCAAGUCUUCAGAAAGGUGUUAGGUCUGAUUAGAAAUCAGUGCUGCAUAAGAUGCAUUUAUGGAUGACCUGGAGAGUUCACCUAGUGAGAAUCACUUCUCACCAUGCAAGAGCUCCAAAUUGUAUUUGAAAUUAAUAUUUCUGAUUAAAAUUGGCACUCCUGAGCCUCCUGCUGACUAACUCCUGUUUGCUUAAACAAUAACCUUAUUUCAGCUGAAAAUAUCCUCAGCAGACAUGCUUUCAAGUUCUGUACUUCAUGCUGCUCUAAUGUUGCAGGAAGAAUCUCAAACACUUAUCCCAGACACAGCCACCAGGCUAUGGAAGUGCCUUGGCUUUUUCCCUGCCAUUUUUGCAACUGCUGUGCUGAAAGAGGAGCCAGUGUAGUGACUGAAAAUUUCUGCUUUCCUCUCAGCCGGUGUCUCUUAUGAAUCUUUUGAUUACCUGCUGUUCUAUUACUGCCUUAUGAUCACUGGUCUUCCCUGUACCAGCCCUACUAUUUUAUCUUAUGACACCAUUCUGAUACAUUUCUACAAUUUCUGAGAAGUGUUUUAAGAUACAGUAGCACCCAGGCAGAGAGCUCAAUUCCAUGCUUCUCAUUCUGUGAUUAUAAAUACAUUUCUAUCUCAAAUGCUGAUGAAUAAUCAAAAUGAAAAAAAAAAAAUUAAUCAGUCUUUUAAUCCAUUUUGUGUUUCAAGUUUGUACUACAUCUGUCUUCAGCUUCUAACUUGUGCUCUUGACUGACAUUUUUACUUUUGAAACACUUCUUCCUUUUCUAAGUAGAAGCAAUCACUUCUCCAAAGUGAAAAAUGUAAAACAAAUUUGUCAAAAAAAAAAUAUUUUGAAGUUUCCCUCUUCCAGCUUUUUUUGGUUUUGUUUUUCCAGUCUUUUGUGUUUUGCUUCAGCUGUAAAACUGUAGAUGACUUCAUGUCAGUGCAUCUUUGUAAUAUCCUCUCAAAACAUUAUCAUUUUCUGUCCUGACAUAGUGCCAGAAUUUUCAUUGUGAUUCUAAAGCAACACUGUCCUUUAAUCAAUGUCCUUCAGAUCACUGGAAAAGGAGAGAAAUAAUACUGCUUAAAGCUUACUUGUGAUUUAGUCAUUGACAACAUUAUUUACUCUCAAAAAGAAUGAAGUUUAGCUACAAAAUAGUCCUUCAAUAGGACAAAAAGGUACUCGCUAUACAGCAUCUGCUUCUGCUGCGUAAGUAUAGAGGUGCAAUUAAGUGGCUUCACAAAACUAAUUUCAAUAGCCAUUUUCCAAAAACCCAACAGAAGUAAGCGACAGCUAACUGGAGUAACUUAGAUGAUCAUUACUUGGCUUAAUUGACAGAACUAUGCCAAGCCCUGGUGGUGUGAACUAAAGAUUCAUUCAGGUAGCUUCUCCUCAGGAGUGAGCUCAGAACAUUCUGUAUGUUUCAGCCAGACAACAGUGAAAAGCUGCAUCCCUAAAGUACCUGCUCCUUUACAACAGAAGUCGUAUUUCGUAGAGCCAGUGCUUUAACUGCCCUGAUAUCAUGUAAAGGUGCUCAUCUCCCCUGGCAGCCAGUUGUCAAAUGAAUAAGCAUAACUGAUCAGAUGAGUAACUUUUCCACAAACUGCAACUAACAGCUCAGGUUUUCCCACAGCUGUGGGAUACCAGCAGCUGUGUGCUUGAAAGUGUAUUACAGAGAUUACUGGUUAAGAGAUAAGUGCCCUCACUCCUAAAACAGGGUACUUUUGUCCACUGUGUAAUUGUCUAGAAUAAAACACCAGAGAACUAACAAGUAAACUUACAGAUUUCAAAUGCUUAGAGUGAUAAAUGUUGUCAGAUAAGAUACAGACUGUUGCAGUCUAGGUCUGACUCUUUGCCAUAUGCUGUGUCGUGGGCACCAUGGUAGCCCCAAAUGUUGUUGUAUAACCAACUACUGAAAUUAUUCUCAGUGUCUGUGACCGAGAUGCACCCAUUGCUCCCAAGGAUGUGCUGGGAAAGGGUUGGCAUGAGCUAUAUAUCUGACAAAGCAUUGUCACAUUCAGCUCCUGCCUGGGUCCCUUAGACCAAGUCCACACUCGAAAAUUUGGUGGGCAGAGGAGAAUCCGAUGGACAGAGAUGAGUCAGAAAAGCUCAUAGGGAAGGUACAGAUAUAAGAUCAAAGUUGGGCAUUUAUUGCUCAGUUGAUUUGUUCACAAGGACAGUUCUAAAAUACAGGUUCAUUAGAGAGAGGAAGGUACAGCACAUUACUCACAUUGAACUAUGGCAUUUAAUGCUACUGAUUCCCAAGAGCCUGAAUAGUGCUAUGCAAAUCAGAUAAACAGAAAGUAGUUCUGACUAUUGCUGAAAGUUGGGUUUAAAGUGUGCAUGAAGUUUCUGUUGUUCUUGAGAAGUCCCAGAAUUUCUUUGAUAGACUUAAAACACUGCAUAAAACACCUUUCAUUUUCACCUGUAUUUUUGAGAGAAGAGUAAGGAGAUAGACAGGGAAAACAGUCUGCGUUUUUAGAAACAUAUUACAAGGCUAAGAAAUAUGGGGAAGAAUACAUCACAAAAAGAGUGUGCAAAUUCUACCACAAACUGAAUUCUCUGA